rnacentral:tRNA from 1 species
GCCCCCGUGGCCCAACUGGCAGAGGCAGGCGACUUAAAAUCGCCAACGGUGAGGGUUCGAGUCCCUCCGGGGGUACCA